ACAUGCAAGUCGAGGGCAGCAUAAAAGUAGCAAUACUUGGUGGCGACCGGCGCACGGGUGAGUAACGCGUAUGCAACCUACCUAUCAGAGGGGAAUAACCCGGCGAAAGUCGGACUAAUACCGCAUAAAACAGGGGCACCGCAUGGUGAUAUUUGUUAAAGAAAUUCGCUGAUAGAUGGGCAUGCGUUCCAUUAGGUAGUUGGUGAGGUAACGGCUCACCAAGCCGACGAUGGAUAGGGGAACUGAGAGGUUGGUCCCCCACACUGGUACUGAGACACGGACCAGACUCCUACGGGAGGCAGCAGUGAGGAAUAUUGGUCAAUGGGCGGGAGCCUGAACCAGCCAAGUCGCGUGAAGGAAGAAGGAUCUAUGGUUCGUAAACUUCUUUUGCAGGGGAAUAAAGUGCAGGACGUGUCCUGUUUUGUAUGUACCCUGAGAAUAAGGAUCGGCUAACUCCGUGCCAGCCGCCGC
rnacentral:rRNA from 1 species